AGUUUAGCAGCAUUUGGCAAAAAUCUUUGUUCAGGUGCAAAAGAGUAAAGUGUUAAAAGCAUUAAAAAGCUGCUGAGUACCAGUGUGUGCUGCUCAGCCAGAUUGCCUGAGCUCCCUCCUGGUCAGAAUCCAGCUGAAGACGCCAAAUGAAGAUGACAUCGGAUUGCUGUAAAUAUUGCUGAUCAGAACAUUGUCUUCCGAAGAAAAGGUGUCUAGCAAUCAUUGAAGGAACCAGAAGCUACUGUCUCUUUCACAGACAUUUUGCUCCCAUUUGUGCUGCUUUGCCAUUUUUGUAGAUUAGUUAAAUAGAAACACAUCUUCUAAACUCUUGUGGUGCAUUUGAUUAGUGCUUUGGUGGCAGUUGAGUUUUAUUGUAAUGGAGUCCAACAGGUGUACAAGAACAGAAUGGGUCUGUGGCUAAAGUGUUUUAUGGAUAUCUGCUAAUGACAUCCUAUGGUUCCAAACAGCAGCACUGGAAAUUUUCUCAUUUGUCAUCUCUAUGGCAAGCAUCAAAUGUUUCAAGAUCCACAGUUUGAAGAUAACUACUCUCUUCCCUGUUUGCAGCCUGACAAACAAAAUUAAAAGCAUAAAAUAUGAUACCCACGAUGAAGUGGCUCUGUGCCUAAACAAUGAGAAGUGGAUGUGAUAACAGUAUGUAUCUGGUCUUUUAAAAAAGCAUUUUAUACUCUGUGUAUUGUUAGUGUGCAUUGUUCAUCUAUAUUGUUGUAUCUAUAUUGCGUGUUGUUCAUCUGUGUGUAUUGUUAGUGUGUAUUGUUCAUCUUGAAAGGAAUAUUGCUUUUCAUUCUGUUUAUCUCUCUUUGUUUAGCAUUUUACAUAUUCCAUUUCCACUGAUGCCAACAUGUUUUAACAGUUCAGACUUUUUCUUUUUCUUUUUAUCUCCAGCUUGUGUUAAGAGGGUGUCUUAAUCUUUAAUCUUUUACAUUCAUUCUUUCUCAUUUUGAAAUUGCAUGUAAAGGAAUUCAGCUACAAAUUCUCACCUGCCCAUGAAUCUCUAUUUUUUUCAGUAGGUGUGCAAAUUACUGGAAUAACAAA